GGUAGAGCGCUUGACUGUUAAUCAAGAUGUCGUCAGUUCGAGUCUGACAGCCGGAG
rfam:Lactobacillus kalixensis DSM 16043 Scaffold30, whole genome shotgun sequence.